UCCACACUCCCUUCCUCCGGAAAUACUUGUCAUAGAAAUGUACAAAAUGGAUGUAUCUAUAAGUAAAAUAAGCCUAGAUACAUCUACUUCUAGAACAAGUAUUUCCGGACGGAGGGAGUACAAU
rfam:Hordeum vulgare subsp. vulgare, WGS project CAJW01000000 data, contig: morex_contig_38751